AUUGAACGCUGGCGGCAGGCCUAACACAUGCAAGUCGAGCGGAUGAGGGAAGCUUGCUUCCUGAUUUAGCGGCGGACGGGUGAGUAAUGCCUAGGAAUCUGCCUAUUAGUGGGGGAUAACGUUCCGAAAGGAACGCUAAUACCGCAUACGUCCUACGGGAGAAAGUGGGGGAUCUUCGGACCUCACGCUAAUAGAUGAGCCUAGGGCGGAUUAGCUAGUUGGUGAGGUAACGGCUCAACAAGGCGACGAUCCGUAGCUGGUCUGAGAGGAAGAUCAGCCACACUGGAACUGAGACACGGUCCAGACUCCUACGGGAGGCAGCAGUGGGGAAUAUUGGACUAUGGGCGAAAGCCUGAUCCAGCCAUGCCGCGUGUGUGAAGAAGGUCUUCGGAUUGUAAAGCACUUUAAGUUGGGAGGAAGGGCUGUAAGCUAAUAUCUUGCAGCUUUGACGUUACCAACAGAAUAAGCACCGGCUAACUCUGUGCCAGCCGCCGCAGUAACAC
rnacentral:rRNA from 1 species